rnacentral:rRNA from 1 species
AUAACGUAGCGAAAGUUACGCUAAUACCGCAUAUUCUGUGAGCAGGAAAGCAGGGAUCGCAAGACCUUGCGCUGAUUGAGCGGCCGAUGUCAGAUUAGCUAGUUGGUGAGGUAAAGGCUCACCAAGGCGACGAUCUGUAGCGGGUCUGAGAGGAUGAUCCGCCACACUGGAACUGAGACACGGUCCAGACUCCUACGGGAGGCAGCAGUGGGGAAUUUUGGACAAUGGGGGCAACCCUGAUCCAGCCAUGCCGCGUGAGUGAAGAAGGCCUUCGGGUUGUAAAGCUCUUUCGGCCGGGAAGAAAUCGCAUGGGUUAAUACCCUGUGCGGAUGACGGUACCGGCAUAAGAAGCACCGGCUAACUACGUG